CUUGGUCUAGGUGAUGAACUAUCACUGCCUAUCGGUCAUGGUAGAAACCCCUCAUUUGGCUCGGCUGCUGAAGUAUGUCGCAAUCACUAGGAAGAAUUUUCUUCCUUAGGUCUGCCACCUGCAGCAAGCUUCCACCAGUUAAAGGCUACAUCAGCAGUGUAGAUGUCUUCAGCCUGUACCUGGAAAAACUCAGCGUCAUGCUUCAUCUUGUAGAGGAUUCUAGCUAUCUUGCCAAUGCUCAUCAUUUUCAUAGAUAUCAUAAUCAAAGCAACCCUGAUAUAUGCAGGCUCUAAGAAGGCACACAAAGAUAUUUAUCGAGACAUUCUGUAGGAAUCUGUCAAUUUUAUAAAUCAUUUGAAAUCAUCAACCUGUGGGCCAAAAUGGUGUUGUUUUUUUCAUAGAUGGAUGAUUCAAAUACAAACAAAAGCCACAUGCUGUGCUGCAUAAUCCUGUAUCGACCUGCUUAAUGGUUACUGUGCUAUGAGGUACUCCAUUAAUAGUGAGUAAGGAAGGACAAAUACUGGUGUUUAUUCAGGCUUAAAUAGACACAAAUGUAAAGUAAGAUUUUCAGUCAGGAAAUACUGUCUUCAUCUUGUGGACUUGCUAUGAGGGGAAACAGUUAAAGUAGAAAUGAUAUGAAUUACAACAUGCCCACUCUACCUGCCAUUCUCUGAACUACUCACUGUGCCCCAGGCAGUCCUUUUGGAGUGUACCCAUGGAGAUAGAACAAUAUAGUCUACUGUAUGAUUGUACCCCUACUCUUUUUACCUAAGUCGGUUUUGUACUUGUCCCUGUAUCACCAGCCAUGACCUGCGGUGUUAAACCAUCCCUCCUAUUGAGAUGCUACUGUAACUAGACCACCAGACACCUCUUUGUUGCUCUUCCUGUAAUCAGAGAUUAGUGCUUUUGAACAAGUGUAAUUUAUGAUGGAAGUGAUCGCUCAGGUAUCUGUGCCGACUGACAAUUACCACUCUUUUUCUUCUGAAGGAGGUAGGGGUGACAACAGUUCAUGGUGAUAACAGUAUACGUUUCCCCCCUGUGGGACCGGCCUUUCAAUAGACACGUCCUUCCACACCAUCCCAUUUAUUAGGCCUUCUCUAAGCACCCUGACAUGUCCCGCUAAUGUCUUCCUCUCCUCAUUGCAUGGUUUCUUGGUUGAAGAACAGCCUCCAGUCUUAACACUUCCUGCCAGAAAUCCCUAGAGGGAGUUUGGGACUGUUUACUCGUAAUGCAGUGUCACCAUUUACCAGCCUUGUCUUUUCUUACCGAAUCUAUGGAGCCUAAACUACAUGCCACUGUGGAUGUCACACUCAAAUAAUGUAUGCCUAUUUCCUAACUACCAAGUACUAUAAUUAUAUGACUCAACUUCUCUUUUUCAUCGUUGAUCAUGUCUAUCCUAAUGAUAAAUAGAAUACAGAUGUAGGAUCUUAAUUUGAUCACACUGUUGUUUCCGUAAAUGCAAACUUGCAGUGUAUUCAACGUUUAAAAAGGCUUCUAAAGUUUCUAAUUUCAACAUAAACACUUCAGACUUGAUUUGCCAUCACAAAAAAUGUAUCAACCCCUACAAAAAUUCCAUACAUUUUAAUCCACACAAGAAUUCCCUUCUCCUGUUGCUGCAGGAUUAUUUUCCUGCUGUGAGAAACUGGUCAAAUUAAUAUCCUACAUCAGUGCAAUCAUUCUGGAGAGAUAAACUAACCUCUGAUUGGUGUCUGAAUGAUACAAUGAUCCUCUUCUCCCCCAUCUCUCUCUUUAUCCUCCAUCUUUUGUCCCGUUCGUUAUCUCAUUACCAUUACUUAGGCUGACCUCAGUGCAGUGCACCCAACUGUGGUCCUCUGCCACACACAACAACCUUUGACCUCCAUGUGAACUGUAGAACCAUCUACAAGUGUCACAAGGGGCCGUUCCCACACUGGGCCUUUUUCAGGACACGGUUCCAUAGGGGCUGAGGAUAAGGUCAAUUUCCCAACCAACCCCAUACAAUGGAAAGUGCUUUGAGCACCUGAUGGAAACAAUUUUUUUCUUCUUCUCGGGGGUAC
rnacentral:lncRNA from 8 species